AUUGUUCUUGCUGGUGUGGUAUGUUCACGGCUGAAAAGAUGGUCAGAAGGGGAAAGGAGGAAGUGAGAAGAAAGAAACAGGGAAAUGAGUGUUGCUCAGUUACCCAGGCUGGAGUGCAAUGGCAUGAUCUUGGCUCACUGCAGCCUCCACCUCCUGGGUUCAAGCGGUUCUCGUGCCUCAGUCUCCCAAGUAGCUGGGAUUACAGGCUGGAGUGCGAUGGCAUGAUCUUGGCUCACGGCAAACUCCGCCUCCCUGGUUCAAGUGAUUCUCCUGCCUCAGCCUCCCGAGUAGCCGGGAUUACAGGCAUGUGCCACCAUGCCCCGUUGGCCAGGCUGGUCUCGAACACCUUACCUCAGGUGAUCCUCCCACCUUUGGGAUUACAGACCCUGCAUGUGAUGGAUCAGCUGACACCAUCCAGAUCGGUAAACUGGUUCAUCUGAUCUUGUGCCCUCCACCCAGGAACUGACUCAGCGCAAGAAGACAGCUUCGACUCCUUGUGAUUUCAUCCCUAACCAAUCAGCACUCCUGGCUCACUGGCUUCCCCCAACCCACCAAAUUGUCCUUAAAAACUCUGCUCUCCAAACGCUGGGGGAGACUGAUUUGAGUAAUAAUAAAACCCUGGUCUCC
rnacentral:lncRNA from 1 species